rnacentral:rRNA from 1 species
CAGUCGAACGGGAAUUACUUUAUUGAAACUUCGGUCGAUUUAAUUUAAUUCCAGUGGCGGACGGGUGAGUAACGCGUGGGUAACCUGCCUUAUACAGGGGGAUAACAGUCAGAAAUGGCUGCUAAUACCGCAUAAGCGCACAGAGCUGCAUGGCUCGGUGUGAAAAACUCCGGUGGUAUAAGAUGGACCCGCGUUGGAUUAGCUUGUUGGUGGGGUAACGGCCCACCAAGGCGACGAUCCAUAGCCGGCCUGAGAGGGUGAACGGCCACAUUGGGACUGAGACACGGCCCAGACUCCUACGGGAGGCAGCAGUGGGGAAUAUUGCACAAUGGGGGAAACCCUGAUGCAGCGACGCCGCGUGAAGGAAGAAGUAUCUCGGUAUGUAAACUUCUAUCAGCAGGGAAGAUAGUGACGGUACCUGACUAAGAAGCCCCGGCUAACUACGUGCCAGCAGCCGCGGUAAUACGUAGGGGGCAAGCGUUAUCCGGAUUUACUGGGUGUAAAGGGAGCGUAGACGGUGUGGCAAGUCUGAUGUGAAAGGCAUGGGCUCAACCUGUGGACUGCAUUGGAAACUGUCAUACUUGAGUGCCGGAGGGGUAAGCGGAAUUCCUAGUGUAGCGGUGAAAUGCGUAGAUAUUAGGAGGAACACCAGUGGCGAAGGCGGCUUACUGGACGGUAACUGACGUUGAGGCUCGAAAGCGUGGGGAGCAAACA